rnacentral:rRNA from 1 species
ACACGGCCCAGACUCCUACGGGAGGCAGCAGUGGGGAAUAUUGGACAAUGGGGGCAACCCUGAUCCAGCAAUGCCGCGUGUGUGAAGAAGGCCUUCGGGUUGUAAAGCACUUUUAUCCGGAACGAAACGCGCCAGGUGAAUAGCCUGGUGAACUGACGGUACCGGAGGAAUAAGCACCGGCUAACUUCGUGCCAGCAGCCGCGGUAAUACGAAGGGUGCAAGCGUUACUCGGAAUUACUGGGCGUAAAGCGUGCGUAGGUGGUUUGUUAAGUCUGCUGUGAAAGCCCCGGGCUCAACCUGGGAAUGGCAGUGGAUACUGGCAAGCUANAGUGCGGUAGAGGGGUGUGGAAUUCCCGGUGUAGCGGUGAAAUGCGUAGAGAUCGGGAGGAACACCAGUGGCGAAGGCGGCACCCUGGACCANCACUGACACUGAGGCACGAAAGCGUGGGGAGCAAACAGGAUUAGAUACCCUGGUAGUCCACGCCCUAAACGAUGCGAA